rnacentral:tRNA from 1 species
GGGCUCGUGGUCUAGUGGCUUGUUCCGCCAGUUGAUUGCUGUGGAACCCAUCAAUGACAACACGUUUACAUCGUGUAGGUCGGCAGUUCGAAUCUGCCCGGGCCCA